UUCCGGUUUGAACUCAGAUCAUGUGCGGGGUAGAGGUCGAACAGACCUUGUGAAAAUAGCUUCUGCACUAUUUGUAGCCGCAAUUCAACAUCGAGGUCGCAAACAAUUAUUUUAAUAAGGGCUUAAAUAAUUAUAACGCUGUUAUCCCUAGAGUACCUUAUUCGUCUAAUUUAAUAAAGAUCAUUGUUAAUAUAAAUAGUCCUAUUUAAAUU
rnacentral:rRNA from 1 species